AAAAGCUCAGCCUAGUAAAAGAAUCCAAGCACUUUGCCGCCAACAUUCUUUCUUCUAGCUUCUUCAUGGUCCAUAAUGCCAGCAGAAGUUGUCAACACAAUAUAACCAAACUGUCUUGAAGGGAGCAACCUUGCAGUCCAUCCUUCAAUCUCCUUGACUCCAACAUCGAAGCGAGGACUAAUAACACCACACUUGUUUAGCCUUCCGUUCAGUUCGACAACAAUCUUUCCGGACCUAUGAUCAUCGACGUACUCAAAUUCUCCAAUGUAACCAUGCUUCUGCAUAACAAUGAGGAACUUGAUGAUGACUUUUGAUGAAGGUCUAAUCAUGACCUGACGCUUUCCCCUCUUUUCAGCAUUGUACAUGCUCUUGAGAGCAUCAUUCAGCACGCUAACUCUGACCAUCUUUUCUUAUCUAAGAUUUGAUUCGGUAGAGAAAGAGAUCACAAGAGUUGUUGCUGCGGAGGAGCAAAGAGGCGGCAAUCUGAAGCACUGGUUUUUACUAAUAAACGUAGGGUUUUAGGUUUUAUUAUUGUUAGGAAGAAGA
rnacentral:misc_RNA from 1 species